GGGAAAAGCCCGGGCUCAAUGGGGCGGGGUGCCAGGUACCGCCGGGGGGGAAACCCCACGACCAGUGAAACAGAGAGAAAACCGCCGAUGGCCCGCGCAAGCGGGAUCAGGUAAGGGUGAAAGGGUGCGGUAAGAGCGCACCGCGCGGCUGGUAACAGUCCGUGGCACGGUAAACUCCACCCGGAGCAAGGCCAAAUAGGGGUUCAUAAGGUACGGCCCGUACUGAACCCGGGUAGGCUGCUUGAGCCAGUGAGCGAUUGCUGGCCUAGAUGAAU
rnacentral:RNase_P_RNA from 1 species